rnacentral:misc_RNA from 1 species
GGCGUAACGAUCAGUGGACAGUCCUGUGCGAAAUCUUCAGUUGCGAACAGUAUCUCCAAGCAUCGAUGAAGCGAGAUGGUUGUCCAAAAGUUAUAAAUCCUGGGAGUUCAGAGACUGAUCUAUAUUAUGAAAAGAAAAAGUAUGGGUUCAAUAGAAGAUAAUGACUGAUACCAACAAUUUUUGACGUGUACAAAAUGUUUUUAAUGUCGCAAAUAAACAACUAUGUUUAUAAAAUUGUAAUAAUUUAUAUUUUUUAUUUUAAAAAUUUAAUUUCAAAUUCGCG